rnacentral:misc_RNA from 1 species
AGCCGCUACUUGUUUAGCUACU